rnacentral:snRNA from 1 species
GUUUUUACUAAGGCAGAAAUAUACACUAAUACUGGAUCGAUGCAGAGAAGAUUAGCCAUGGUCAGCGCGCAAGGAUAACAAGCAAAAUCGUGAAACGUUCUUCACGUUC